rnacentral:rRNA from 1 species
GAUGAACGCUGGCGGCGUGCCUAAUACAUGCAAGUCGAGCGAACGGACGAGAAGCUUGCUUCUCUGAUGUUAGCAGCGGACGGGUGAGUAACACGUGGAUAACAUACCUAUACGAAUGGGAUACCAUCGGGAAACCAGAGCUAAUACCGGAUAAUAUUUUGAACUGCAUGGGUCAAAAGUGAAAGACGGUCUUGCUGUCACUUAUAGAUGAAUCCGGGUUGCAUUAGCUAGUUGGUAAGGUAACUGCUUACCAAGGCAACGAUGGAUAGCCGACCCGAGAGGGCGAUCGGCCACACUGGAAGAGAGACACGGCAGACACUCCUACGGUAGGCAGCAGUAGGGAAUCUUCCGCAAUGGGGGAAAGCGUGACGGAGCAACGCCGGGUGAGUGAUGAAGGUCUUCUGAUCGUAAAACUCUGAUAUUAGGAAAGAAGAUAUGUUUAAGUAACUGGGCUCAUCUUGACGGUACCUAAUCAGAAAGCCACGGCUAACUACGUG